CAGUGGUAUCAACGCAGAGUGAUCCAAGCAGAUGGUGACAUCCACAUUUUAGUACAUUCUAGUACUGUACCUUGAAUGCACUGUGAACAACAGGGCCAGCAGUCAAGUGCUUUUAUAGCUACCUGCCAAGUGCAGUCAUUUUAAAAUAACCUCCCUUUCUCAAAGUGGUACUAAUUUUGCUGGAUUUCCCUAGGAAGAAAGGAUGAGAGAGCAUUUAAUUUAAGCACAGAUUUUGGUGUCAGGGCUCAGCGCCAACCUCUGUGAUCAACCUCCUCUAAAGCCAUGAGCACAUUUUACAACAGUUCUGGGGUUAGCUAGGUGAGAGAAACUGGUAUUUUCUCCCUAUUAAGUGCUGGACUCAAAACAUGGCACCUAGUUUGCUUGUAAACACCCAGCCACUAAUACAAUAUGCCCAAAAUCUCAAAACAAUCCAUUGCCACACAUAAACUUGAAAGACAGCACUCAGAAGAUUAAUGUUUCAAAACUAAACUCUCAGGAGUGGAGAAGUGCUGGCAUGAAGGUUGCCCAAUGCAAUCCCACUUGAGCCCUCUGGUGCAUUCACUUAAGUGUAUAGUCUUUAAUUACUGAACUGCAUUUGCUGCCAGCACUUCCUUCAGCAUUCCAGGUUUGACAGGCUCACCCAUGACCCAGCAACUUGGCUUUACCCGCUCCGGUUAGAGCGCGGCCAUACGCAUCGUUUACCAAAUACCCUGAAGUUCCAGCUCAGAGUACAAAAAUUCUCAAUUUUGCUGGUAGAUUUCCCGUAGCAUUUCGUAUUAAUCACUCACUUCUGAAGCAAGGUUAUUUAUUUUCAGCAUCACUCUUUUGAUGAGAGAAGGGUACACAUCCUCUACUAUGCAGGUAAGAAGUGAGACAGGGCCAACAUAUGAAGGCCAAAAAGUCUCUGUUAAUUCAAGGUAUCAAACUUAAGGUGUUUCUGGUCUAAUUUUUUUCAGAGCAUUCUGCAUUUCAUAGAACUUUGC